rnacentral:rRNA from 1 species
UACAGAGGUCUCAAGCGUUGUUCGGAUUCAUUGGGCGUAAAGGGCGCGUAGGCUGCGGGGCAAGUCGGGUGUGAAAUCUCAGAGCUCAACUCUGAAAACUGCACUCGAUACUGCUUUGCUCGAGGACUGGAGAGGAGAUUGGAAUUCACGGUGUAGCAGUGAAAUGCGUAGAUAUCGUGAGGAAGACCAGUGGCGAAGGCGGAUCUCUGGACAGUUCCUGACGCUGAGGCGCGAAGGCCAGGGGAGCAAACGGG